AUUUACUGUUAACAAUUGAUGGGACUGGCUUGAAUCAGGCCACCUCAAUUUAAUUGUUCCACUAUUUUUUUUCAAAUAAUUAAACCGUUUGGUUACAUAUUUCUACUGUGUGGUCUAGCUUUUAGUUCUUUGUUCCCCCAAAUUUGGGUGGUUUGAAAACUGUCAGUUUCUAUGUCACCAUUUAAAAAAUUGAAAGGUUAACAUCUUUUAGUUCUCUACCUACAGAGGAGAGAACAAUAUUCAUCCCUCACUCUGGUCCCCUCCUCAUUCCACAUUUAUGAAGCUUUACUAUUCAUUUACUUUUCAGAUCCCAAUCUCAAUGUUUUUAUUUAAUGGGAAAUAUUUCACAUUAAUUUUAAGUUUUUUUUUGUUUUGUUUUGUGCUUUUUGGCAGUGCUGGAGAUGGAACCCAGGGCCUCAUUGUACAUGGUAAGCAAGCACUCCACCACUGAGCCACACUCCAACCCUUGUAUUUCAAGUUUUUGCUAAUUUCACCUUUAUAUUAUGCCACUUCUAUGUCCAAUAUUUCACUUGGAUAGUUAGUGGAAGAUACUGAUGGUUGGGAUCAAUUUGGAGUCGUCAGGGUGUAAGAACAGGGAGUGUCAGCCUUUCCCAGGCAGGUGGCAGAGCAAGGGAGCUACUUUGCAAGGCAGCCUCACAACACCUAGGAUUCUCUCCCCACCCUAUGAUAAGCUACUGGGGUUGUGUUAAAAAAAAAAAAAAAAAAAAAAGCCCACCCUUUUGUUGGACAUUACUUAUUCAUUCCUGUAUCUGUUUUCCUUCUGUUAUUGAACCUGCUUUCCAAGGCCCUGCAGCCCACCUACUCUGGGCACUCAUGUUCUACCCUGCCUCACGGUGGGAUGCAAACACAAGUC
rnacentral:lncRNA from 1 species